GAAUUGCAUAAUAGAGAUACAAGCAAGAAUCAUUAAGUUCUAUGAAAAACAUAAGCAUUGACGAGGCACUCAUUACUAUGAAUUGCAUGAAACUUAUGCCAAGAAUUUACUUAACGUGAUUGUGACUAGCAACCUUCACUACUUGUGAAUAUAAGUUCAUAACGAUUAUGUGAAACUCCCUUAUAUUCUAGCGUUAAAUUCAUGCAUGAAAAUUAAGCGUGCACUCUCAACCAACAUACACAAAUCAUUUUUUAUACGAUCGGAUAAGUAAAUUGAAUUCACAAAUUAUGAAUCACAACUGGAUGUAAUCAAAUCAUAUUGCAAGUAUGAACAUAGUUUCGAAUCACCCCCUAACUAAGAGGGGUUUAGUUCCUCAUACUCACAAAGCAAAGAUACAUAAAAUUAGACAUUAAAAUCAAAGGAAAGAAAACACCUAAAGUGCUCCAACUUGGAUAGCAAGUGCAUCAAUGGAUCUCCCUUCCUCCUUGUUGCGGCAUGAAG
rnacentral:lncRNA from 1 species